rnacentral:misc_RNA from 1 species
GAUGAAGAACGUAGCGAAAUGCGAUACGUAAUGUGAAUUGCAGAAUUCAGUGAAUCAUCGAGUCUUUGAACGCACAUUGGGCCCCCUGGUAUUCCGGGGGGCAAGCCUGUCCGAGCGUCAUUGCUGCCCUCAAGCACGGCUUGUGUGUUGGGCCUCCGUCCUCCUCCCGGGGGACGGGCCCGAAAGGCAGCGGCGGCACCGCGUCCGGUCCUCGAGCGUAUGGGGCUUCGUCACCCGCUCUUGUAGGCCCGGCCGGCGCUUGCCGACACAUCAAUCUUUUUUCCAGGUUGACCUCGGAUCAGGUAGGGAUACCCGCUGAACUUAAGCAUAUCAAUAAGCGGAGGA